AGGGAAGGUGGAGCUGUUUCUUGAGUUAUGGAAACUUUCUGAUUUGUCAGCAGACAUUUAAAUACCUCCGAACUAAAUGUGAUCAAUUUAUUAAUCGAGUGCAAGAAGUAAAGAGAGAGACUGGUGUUGCAUUUUUGUUCGAGAAGGCAGCUACACUGUCUGAAAUUGAUCACUUGCAUCUGGCCUUCCAAUCAGCAAGAUGGCUGUUCAACCUGGACUACUUCAUAUCUCUCCCGACUCCUUGACUCCUUGACUUCUGCGUCAGUGUAAUCUGUGUGUGUGCAUGGCCAUUAUCCAAAACUUUGCGUGCUGCCAUUUGCUGCAAUUCAGAUGGCUCUUGGUAUUAUCUCAGUGCUUGCAGUGUUUUGUGGCCGGCUCUGCCUUGAAUGACAUCUUCAGGAACUCCCGCUUGAAACAGCCUUGUUGCACUAGUAGCUCGAAGAAUGUGGUUGGUUUGAACUGGAAGACCAGCUUCAGCUGUCAUCACUUUCAUCAUUGUAGCCAAAGUGUUACAACCGAUUACUUGCUUUGAAUACCAAGGACCAAAUGAAGGUGUAGAUAACAAAGGUUUAUAAUAGAAGGCUUGUCGGGGAAAAUCCUGUUGGCAACUUACUUAGAUAUAGAGAUCCAAAAUUUUUACGUGGCAACGGUCACCAGCUUCUUCAUUAGCGUAUCUGAUAAACCACAAACCACAAAAUGCUAUUACCUUACAGAGUCACGUUGGAGCUUGACUAUAAUUUACCUUGUGACUUUUUGGUUUGGAUACUGUAAAUCACUUAG